AACGAACGCUGGCGGCAUGCCUAACACAUGCAAGUCGAACGAGAUCUUCGGGUCUAGUGUCGCACGGGUGCGUAACGCGUGGGAAUCUGCCCUUUGGUUCGGAAUAACAGUUGGAAACGACUGCUAAUACCGGAUGAUGACGAAAGUCCAAAGAUUUAUCGCCAGAGGAUGAGCCCGCGUAGGAUUAGCUAGUUGGUGUGGUAAAGGCGCACCAAGGCGACGAUCCUUAGCUGGUCUGAGAGGAUGCUCAGCCACACUGGGACUGGGACACGGCCCAGACUCCUACGGGAGGCAGCAGUGGGGAAUAUUGGACAAUGGGCGAAAGCCUGAUCCAGCAAUGCCGCGUGAGUGAUGAAGGCCUUAGGGUUGUAAAGCUCUUUUACCCGGGAUGAUAAUGACGGUACCGGGAGAAUAAGCUCCGGCUAACUCCGUGCCAGCCGCCGCAGUAA
rnacentral:rRNA from 1 species